AGUGAGGAACUGGAUGUCUACUUUGAUUUAAUGGGAAUUAGUUUAAUUUGAAAGAGCCGUGUGUGGACAGUGGCUGCCACGUCAGACAGCACAGCUGCACAAAAACAGAAUCAGACACCAAAGGCUCCAGGGGUUGGAGACCCCUCUGCUCCUGCUCAGCGCUGCCAUGGAGAGGGCACCACCUGGGAAGUCUGAUGGAGCAAAAUUAAAGCGAUCUGGGGCUGGCGUGUGACUCAGGGGGACAGUGCUUGCCUAGCACGUGUCGUGUGGGGGUCAUAUUCCAUCCCACCACCGCAGAAGAAAGAAAGAAAGAGAAUAAUUAAGCGGGACCCUCUUAUUCACGCUGAGGAAAGGAAUGGAAGCCUUCACUCUGGCGAUUCCAACAUGCAGCCAUGGCGGGGCACCGAAGACCUGGAGGGCGAAGGUCACCCUCAUCUGCCCCUGGUGUUCAUUCAGGUCUGAGAGGAGAGUUAACGAAUGGAGCCUGGAGCGGGCAAGGUGCUGCGUGGUGCUGAUAGGUCACAGCUGCCCACCUAGCCGUGAAGUUGAUACAUCUGGGCCCCAUGUUUGUAGCUGUUUUCCCAUCCUAGACUUUGCUGCCAGCAAGGUCCGGGAGUCUGCCAGGAACCAGUGUUUAGGAUCAGCGUAA
rnacentral:lncRNA from 1 species